rnacentral:tRNA from 1 species
GGAGGGAUGGCAGAGUGGACGAUUGCGCCAGUCUUGAAAACUGGUAUACCUGCAAGGGUAUCGUGGGUUCGAAUCCCACUCCCUCCG